UACAGAGGUCCCAAGCGUUGUUCGGAUUCACUGGGCGUAAAGGGUGCGUAGGUGGUGGGCUAAGUCAGGUGUGAAAUCUCCGGGCUCAACCCGGAGGGUGCGCCUGAAACUGGUUCGCUAGAGGGUGGGAGGGGAGACUGGAAUUCUCGGUGUAGCAGUGAAAUGCGUAGAUAUCGAGAGGAACACCGGUGGCGAAGGCGAGUCUCUGGACCAUUCCUGACACUGAGGCACGAAAGCCGGGGGAGCAAAC
rnacentral:rRNA from 1 species